GAUGAACGCUUGCGGCGUGCUUAACACAUGCAAGUCGAGCGAAGCACUUUUGCGGAUUUCUUCGGAUUGAAGCAAUUGUGACUGAGCGGCGGACGGGUGAGUAACGCGUGGGUAACCUGCCUCAUACGGGGGGAUAACAGUUGGAAACGGCUGCUAAUACCGCAUAAGCGCACAGUACCGCAUGGUACCGUGUGAAAAACUCCGGUGGUAUGAGAUGGACCCGCGUCUGAUUAGCUAGUUGGUGGGGUAACGGCCUACCAAGGCGACGAUCAGUAGCCGACCUGAGAGGGUGACCGGCCACAUUGGGACUGAGACACGGCCCAAACUCCUACGGGAGGCAGCAGUGGGGAAUAUUGCACAAUGGGGGAAACCCUGAUGCAGCGACGCCGCGUGAGCGAUGAAGUAUUUCGGUAUGUAAAGCUCUAUCAGCAGGGAAGAAAAUGACGGUACCUGACUAAGAAGCCCCGGCUAACUACGUGCCAGCAGCCGCGGUAAUACGUAGGGGGCAAGCGUUAUCCGGAUUUACUGGGUGUAAAGGGAGCGUAGACGGCAUGGCAAGCCAGAUGUGAAAGCCCGGGGCUCAACCCCGGGACUGCAUUUGGAACUGUCAGGCUAGAGUGUCGGAGAGGAAAGCGGAAUUCCUAGUGUAGCGGUGAAAUGCGUAGAUAUUAGGAGGAACACCAGUGGCGAAGGCGGCUUUCUGGACGAUGACUGACGUUGAGGCUCGAAAGCGUGGGGAGCAAACAAAAUUAGAUACCCUGGUAGUCCCCGCCGUAAACGAUGAAUACUAGGUGUCGGGUGGCAAAGCCAUUCGGUGCCGCAGCAAACGCAAUAAGUAUUCCACCUGGGGAGUACGUUCGCAAGAAUGAAACUCAAAGGAAUUGACGGGGACCCGCACAAGCGGUGGAGCAUGUGGUUUAACUCGAAGCAACGCGAAGAACCUUACCUGGUCUUGACAUCCCUCUGACCGCUCUUUAAUCGGAGCUUUCCUUCGGGACAGAGGAGACAGGUGGUGCAUGGUUGUCGUCAGCUCGUGUCGUGAGAUGUUGGGUUAAGUCCCGCAACGAGCGCAACCCCUAUCUUUAGUAGCCAGCAUUUAAGGUGGGCACUCUAGAGAGACUGCCAGGGAUAACCUGGAGGAAGGUGGGGAUGACGUCAAAUCAUCAUGCCCCUUAUGACCAGGGCUACACACGUGCUACAAUGGCGUAAACAAAGGGAAGCGAGCCCGCGAGGGGGAGCAAAUCCCAAAAAUAACGUCUCAGUUCGGAUUGUAGUCUGCAACUCGACUACAUGAAGCUGGAAUCGCUAGUAAUCGCGAAUCAGAAUGUCGCGGUGAAUACGUUCCCGGGUCUUGCACA
rnacentral:rRNA from 1 species